AAUGGGGAUUAGAUACCCCAAUUAUGCUUAACCGUAAAAAAUUAACUUUACAUUAUCACCGCCAGGGUAUUACGAGCAAAAGCUUAAAACCCAAAGGACUUGACGGUAUCCCACCCACCUAGAGGAGCCUGUUCUAUAAUCGACACCACCCGCUAUACCCCACUGCUUCUUGCAUAUCAGCCUGUAUACCUCCGUCGCAAGCCUGCCAUAUGAAUGUCUUAAAGCAAGCCUAAUGAUCCACUCACCACAACGUCAGGUCAAGGUGCAGCCCACAAAGCAGUUCGAAAUGGGCUACAAUUUCUAUAUUAGAACAAACGAAAGGCCACAUGAAAUCUAUCCAUGAAGGCGGAUUUAGUAGUAAAAAGAAAAUAGAGAGUUCUUUUUAAUAAGGCACUGGGACAUGUACACACCGCCCGUCACCCUUAA
rnacentral:rRNA from 1 species